rnacentral:rRNA from 1 species
UACGUAUGGUGCAAGCGUUAUCCGGAUUUACUGGGUGUAAAGGGAGCGCAGGCGGCGCGCCAAGUCUGAUGUGAAACCCCGGGGCUCAACCCCGGGCAUGCAUUGGAAACUGGCGGGCUGGAGUGCCGGAGAGGUAAGCGGAAUUCCUAGUGUAGCGGUGAAAUGCGUAGAUAUUAGGAGGAACACCAGUGGCGAAGGCGGCUUACUGGACGGCAACUGACGCUGAGGCUCGAAAGCGUGGGGAGCAAACAGG